rnacentral:rRNA from 1 species
UACGGGAGGCAGCAGUGGGGAAUAUUGGGCAAUGGGCGAAAGCCUGACCCAGCAACGCCGCGUGAAGGAAGAAGGUUUUCGGAUUGUAAACUUCUGUCCUAUGUGAAGAGUAGGAGACGGUAGCAUAGGAGGAAGCCCCGGCUAACUACGUGCCAGCAGCCGCGGUAAU